CAAGGCCAGGGAUCACGAGCCAGGCUGGGCAGGAACCCAGGGCACCCAGGCCCACCAUAAGCCGAACAGAUAUGCAGCUACCCUGCAGGGUUUCCAGGAGCAAACCCAGUUACACCCACCCCUGGGGGAGCUACCCUGGGGGAGGAGCAUAGAGCAGAGACUGGGAAGCACACUUCAGAACACUGUGCCAAGAUUAGAGCCCACUUGAAGGAAAGGGGAAGCAGAAGAGAGGUGAAGUUCCAAGUGGCCCUGUAAGAAGCUAAAUUAACAGGCCCUGAAAGGUAAGAAAUGUUCCUGGCUCCUGCGCUCAGAUAAUCCUAGUCUCUCUCAAAGCAGGUCCAGUAUGAGCCAUUUGAGCACAGAGCCGAGUGUCUCAAUCCCUGCACUACUGACACUUGGGGUCAGACAAAUCUGUUGUUUGAAGGUGUUCUGUGCCAUUCAAGAUGUUAACCAGCAUCCUUG
rnacentral:lncRNA from 1 species